UACGUAAGGGGCAAGCGUUGUCCGGAAUCAUUGGGCGUAAAGAGCGUGUAGGCGGCCAGAUAAGUCCGCUGUGAAAUCUCGAGGCUCAACUUCGAGCUGUCGGUGGAAACUGUCUGGCUAGAGUCCGGAAGAGGAGAAUGGAAUUCCUGGUGUAGCGGUGAAAUGCGCAGAUACUCAGGAAGAACACCCGUGGCGAAGGCGGUUCUCUGGGACGGUACUGACGCUGAGACGCGAAAGCGUGGGGAGCGAACAGG
rnacentral:rRNA from 1 species